rnacentral:rRNA from 1 species
UACGUAGGGCGCAAGCGUUAUCCGGAAUUAUUGGGCGUAAAGAGCUCGUAGGCGGUUUGUCGCGUCUGCCGUGAAAUCCCGAGGCUCAACCUCGGGUCUGCAGUCGAUACGGGCGGACUGGAGUUCGGCAGGGGAGACUGGAAUUCCUGGUGUAGCGGUGAAAUGCGCAGAUAUCAGGAGGAACACCGGUGGCGAAGGCGGGUCUCUGGGCCGUAACUGACGCUGAGGAGCGAAAGCGUGGGGAGCGAACAGG